AGCUUCUUCAAUCCGUGCAAAGAUUUAGUCAGACACCAACAGAUUGGUGCUGAUCAGACUUCGAAGAUAAUUGAAGUU
rnacentral:pre_miRNA from 1 species